AGCUCAGAGGUAGGGUAUGUGCUUAGCAAGCACAAGACCUUGGGUUCUAUUCCCAG
rnacentral:tRNA from 1 species